rnacentral:rRNA from 1 species
GCUUGCUUUCUUGCUGACGAGCGGCGGACGGGUGAGUAAUGUAUGGGGAUCUGCCCGAUAGAGGGGGAUAACUACUGGAAACGGUGGCUAAUACCGCAUGACGUCUACGGACCAAAGCAGGGGCUCUUCGGACCUUGCGCUAUCGGAUGAACCCAUAUGGGAUUAGCUAGUAGGUGAGGUAAUGGCUCACCUAGGCGACGAUCUCUAGCUGGUCUGAGAGGAUGAUCAGCCACACUGGGACUGAGACACGGCCCAGACUCCUACGGGAGGCAGCAGUGGGGAAUAUUGCACAAUGGGCGCAAGCCUGAUGCAGCCAUGCCGCGUGUAUGAAGAAGGCCUUAGGGUUGUAAAGUACUUUCAGCGGGGAGGAAGGUGAUAAAGUUAAUACCUUUAUCAAUUGACGUUACCCGCAGAAGAAGCACCGGCUAACUCCGUGCCAGCAGCCGCGGUA